UACGUAGGUGGCAAGCGUUGUCCGGAUUUAUUGGGUUUAAAGGGUGCGUAGGCGGUCAUGUAAGUCAGUGCUGAAAUAUCCCGGCUUAACCGGGAGGGUGGCAUUGAUACUGUAUGACUUGAGUAAAGUUGAGGUUGGCGGAAUUGACGGUGUAGCGGUGAAAUGCUUUGAUAUCGUCAAGAACACCUAUUGCGAAGGCAGCUAACUAAGCUUUAACUGACGCUGAGGCACGAAAGUGUGGGGAUCAAACAGG
rnacentral:rRNA from 1 species